CCUACGGGAGACAGCAGUGGGGAAUAUUGGGCAAUGGGCGCAAGCCUGACCCAGCAACGCCGCGUGAAGGAAGAAGGCUUUCGGGUUGUAAACUUCUUUUGUCAGGGAAGAGUAGAAGACGGUACCUGACGAAUAAGCCACGGCUAACUACGUGCCAGCAGCCGCGGUAAUACGUAGGUGGCAAGCGUUGUCCGGAUUUACUGGGUGUAAAGGGCGUGUAGCCGGGUUGACAAGUCAAAUGUGAAAUCCUGCGGCUUAACCGCAGAACUGCAUUUGAAACUGUUGAUCUUGAGUACUGGAGAGGCAGACGGAAUUCCUAGUGUAGCGGUGAAAUGCGUAGAUAUUAGGAGGAACACCAGUGGCGAAGGCGGUCUGCUGGACAGCAACUGACGGUGAGGCGCGAAAGCGUGGGGAGCAAACAGGAUUAGAUACCCCAGUAGUC
rnacentral:rRNA from 1 species